CACACACACACACACACACACACACACACACACACACACACACACACAAACCGCCUCCAUGGUCACCUUGAGCAGAAUUCAUAGGUACUGCUGAUGUUUGUGCAAAAUUAAUAAAGCAACACAAAAUUUGGCUGUUUUCAUGCUCUGAUGCUUUAGUUAAAGAUGUACUUGUCCUGUUCAGUUCUCUGACACCUCCUGUUAAGUGGAAAAUUUCCCACAAAUUUAUAAACCAGAAUAGAUUAUUGUUACGUUCUAAGAAGCUGAGGGGGAAAACAUGCCAGUCGUCGCUGCCGUUGGCAGUUUUUCCCUUUGUGUUGCAUCUAACUUAAGUUCUCUUUUUCCAGCUAAUGCUUUGCAUCUGUUUCAAACACUUAACAUAUCAAUGAAACUUUUCACUUCAUGAGAUUUGAAGUGUUUUUCCUAAAUUAUGUUCUUACCUCCAUCAACAAAACCAAAGGAUGAAGGAGUCUCAGUGGAUCUUCCUGUUUCUGAAUAUUCGGUAAAUGAUUAAUAUUUACUGGGGUGGCAGUAUUGUUGAGCAGGGCAGAGUACAUUGUACAUUUUCAUGUUUUUGAUAAAGCCCUAAAUGAUUUUUUUUUCUUAAUUUUUUUUUUGUAAAUUAUUGUUACUCACAUAGUUGUCCACUCUCUCCUUGAGACCUGUGGUCAUCUAAGUUUGAUCACUUGUUAUGUUUAAUGAAGGUGAAUUCAGGUGUAAAAGAUUUUCAGUGAAAUAGCAAAGGUUUUUAUUGUUUCUGUAUUGAUUUUAGUAAAUCACACUACUUUUGGGACCGCAGCAGAAAUGUUCUCACAGCAAAAUCUUAAGCUAAAUUUCUGUGUCUUCUUUGCUGCUGAAAAACACAGGUGUAAGAAAAUGUGGACCUGCCUGCUUGUGUCUGUGUAUGUGUACAGCAUUUACCUAACACAACUACCCCCCCCCCCCCCCCCCCACACACACACACACACACACACACACACACUCAUGCAUGCAAAUCCUCACACUGGGAAAACAUAAUCGACAGUAAUCACAACAAACUACUGGACUCUUUUUACACCCUUUCAAUCUGUGUGAUUUCUUUUGUAAACAAUGUUUGUACUGUGAAUGUGAUUCAUUCUUUGUGUUGUUGUGAAUAAUGUAGAUUAUUAUAUUUAUGCUGUCAGUCUCUUUUUUUUGCCUUUUUUUUUUUUUUUUCUAAAUCCUGAAUUGUGUUGACAGUGUAGAAUGCAAAAGUGUGUGUACUUGACUCACAGUCUGAAAACAAUGGUGCUAUGUUUGGACUGUGCCUGAACUUAUUUAUUCUUUACCGAACACAUCAAGAAAAAGAAAAUGUUGAAUACUUGGUGCUGUACAUGGAACUUUGAACACCUGUUUUGUUUUGUUUUUUGGUUUGAUUUUUUUUUUUUUUUUUUGGUUUGUUUGUUCAUUUGUUUUUGGCAUUUCUUUACUCAUGUUUAACAUGAUGUCUUGUUCUAUGAAUGCCUAGUGUUCAACUGUAGACACCAUCUUUUAGACAUUGAAAUUGCUCUGCUGAGGCUCAUGAGCCUCUUGUUUUCUCACACAGCAGUUUCGAGACUGCUUAUUUCUUAGUGAACAGUCCAAACUGUUUUGUACAUAUGUUUUCAUUGUUUCUCAUUGUAUGUCUCCCAUCAUAAACAGAAAGAUAUAUAAAAUAUGUAUCUAUAUACAGUUUAUAAAUAUAUAUGAGUAUAUCUAUAUAUGGGUGAAAAGGGGUGUUUUGGUGCUGACAUUGUGACCCAAAUGUUCAACCUGUUACACAGGAGGCUUGAAGUCAAAGCAUUGCCACCACAGGACCUUAACAAAUGACGCCUGACAACACGGCAGCACUGCAGCACCUGAAUCCCCUGUGACACACACACACACACACACACACACACACAGAAACUCAGAGGAUGUGUGUGUCGAACACACAGAGGUGCUGUGGCGUAAAACACAACUAGAUUCCAGCAGUAGGACUGUUAUCUUUUACUAUCAGAUUUUUUUUUUGUUCUGUUUUUUGCGACCCAGAUCCUGUAGGAAUAAAAUGGUGCUUCUGUUUCUAAACAAAGGCAAUUCAGAUGUUGUGCUAAUUAAUCCUUCACUGGUGCAUACAGACCUAUGUGUCAAGCGUCCGUACACACACUGUCUUUUAUAGAUGUCCUGUGAGCAUAUCGUGUGACUGCCGCAGACUUGCACAUGUGCUUGUCCUAAUGUGUGCGAGUGAGAGCAGCCUCGCUUCCUGUUUUUCCAAUAAGUGGGAACAUGCUUAACCUCAGCUUGUGUGCGUGUUAUCUUUUUACACUUUGCCAGUGCAUAUUUUAAGGGAUGAUUAGAUUAAUAAUGGAAGCUUUAUAGUAACAUGUCCUGUCCUGUGCGCCCCGAUGACAAUAACAAACAUGAUUCUCACCUGCAAGUGUUGGAAGUGGAAAAAAAAAAAGUUAAGUCAUUUUAGAGCUACGUUAGUGACUAGUCUGUUUGUUACAAAUACUGCUGAGAGGUAUUUUGUAAUUACUGUUGAUGCUGUCUUGAGUUUCCUAUUACGGUGUUUGAUACAGCUGCAGUUUCAUGUUAUGCUUUCACUUGUGUCUCCAGACUCUUGUCAGUUUUUAAAUACUACUUGUCAAACAGACAGCACGGUGCUCUCCUUCACUUAAAACAAGGAAAUUGCAGCUAUUGAUGGAAUACUACUCUUCUCCUGUUAUGCUGUUGGGUUCAGUGGUUUAAAUAACCUGCAAGACGAGCUCGCCUGGUGGUUUUCCUCAUGUUUCAGUCUCACCUUCUGAGCUUUAUUCCAAUCUGAGGGGUCAGAGUGCUCAAUGUGCGAGUAAGAGUAGUUUGGGGAUGAUACGGCAAAUAAUUUGCUCCCUGAAUAUUUCAGCCAGUUUUGUUGGAGUUUGACAUUGAAGUCCUUUGGUGUCUGAGCCUGAAUUGAACCUCAAGCCUCUAUGCAGUCCUCCAGCACACUGCAGCUUGGUGCAUUAUUGUUGGUCGAUAAUCUGUGAGAGCUGUGCAGUCGAGGCCGUUUACUCUAAAUCCUGCCAAAGGUCUGAACUCAGGAAUCUCCCACAUUUCUUGAAACAAUUUUCUACAAACUACUGCAUGUCACGAUGAAGCUCAACUGCAACCCGACUCAGGAGCAGGGCCAUUUCCUAGUGAGUGCUUUUCAAAAAAAGAAAAAAAAAAAAAAAGAAAAUCAAGCCGGAUCUCCUCAAAUUCUUCCUACUGUCACAUACAUCUCAGCCUCUUCAGUGAAAUCAAGCUGAGUUGGUUUGAUCUCAAGCAGCGGUGAAAUGGCUACAACUUUCAGCAUCUUCCUCAUCUCACAAAUGGCUCCGUUUAGAACUGCAUCUCUGACAACGAGGAUGGAUAGAUGAGAACUACAGUUUGUGUACAGUGAUCUCCGAUUGGUGAAGCCAGGGCAGGUUUGAGGUGCAAUAAUGGCAAACCUACUUUCCAAAAGGCCCUGGGUUUUUCAUGGAAACUUUGUUACUGUUUGAUGUUGGUGCUUUUAUCCUAAGAUGUUCUAAUGAAACAAAUGGAAUUAAUGUUUUUUUUCUGCAUUUUAUUAUUAAUAAAGAUGUUUCCUAUAAUG